rnacentral:rRNA from 1 species
AGUGAAGCGGCAACAGCUCAGAUUUGAAAUCUGGCCCUUACGGGGUCCGAGUUGUAAUCUGUAGAGGAUGCUUUUGGCGACGCGCCUUCCGAGUCCCCUGGAACGGGGCGCCAGAGAGGGUGAGAGCCCCGUAUGGUUGGACGCCGAACCUCUGUAAAGCUCCUUCGACGAGUCGAGUAGUUUGGGAAUGCUGCUCAAAAUGGGAGGUAAAUUUCUUCUAAAGCUAAAUACCGGCCAGAGACCGAUAGCGCACAAGUAGAGUGAUCGAAAGAUGAAAAGCACUUUGAAAAGAGGGUUAAAUAGCACGUGAAAUUGCUGAAAGGGAAGCGCUUGUGACCAGACUUGCGCCCGGUUGAUCAUCCAGCGUUCUCGCUGGUGCACUCUGCCGGGCUCAGGCCAGCAUCGGCUCUCCCAGGGGGAUAAAGGUCGCGGGAACGUAGCUCUCUCCGGGGAGUGUUAUAGCCCGUGGCGGAAUGCCCUUAGGGGGGGCCGAGGCCCGCGUUCGCAAGGAUGCUGGCGUAAUGGUCACCAGCGACCCGUCUUGAAACACGGACCAAGGAGUCAAGCAUUAGGGCGAGUCUUUGGGUGCAAAACCCGCAGGCGCAAUGAAAGUGAACGGAGGUGAGAGCUUCGGCGCAUCAUCGACCGAUCCUGAUGUUCUCGGAUGGAUUUGAGUAAGAGCCUUACCGCUUGGACCCGAAAGAUGGUGAACUAUGCCUGAAUAGGGUGAAGCCAGAGGAAACUCUGGUGGAGGCUCGCAGCGGUUCUGACGUGCAAAUCGAUCGUCAAAUUUGGGCAUGGGGGCGAAAGACUAAUCGAACCAUUAACUACUACUAGGUGGUUAAGAGGCCCGGUCCAAAAGAUCAGGCCUAGUUGACAGCGCUUAUGGUGUUGUUAGCGACACUGUCAAACUGCCGGGGACUGCCUGAUCGAGGUUAAGCUACCGCUGG